GGAGAGCUCGGCGGACUGGGACGGGCGGGACGCCCCUGCGGGCGCCGACAGGCUGCACGGGGAGCCGGAGUCCGCAGAGGGGAGGCCGGUCGUCGGCGCCCCCGCGCCGGCCUCGAGGAGCUCCUGGAGCCGCCGGUGGAGCUGGCCCUGACGCCCGCCGGCGAUCCGCCUUCCCCGCCCGCCGGGAAAUAAAGGCCGUGAUUUCCA